rnacentral:rRNA from 1 species
UUUUAGCAGGGAAGAAGCGAAAGUGACGGUACCUGCAGAAAAAGCGCCGGCUAACUACGUGCCAGCAGCCGCGGUAAUACGUAGGGCGCAAGCGUUAUCCGGAAUUAUUGGGCGUAAAGAGCUCGUAGGCGGUUUGUCGCGUCUGCUGUGAAAACCCGAGGCUCAACCUCGGGCCUGCAGUGGGUACGGGCAGACUAGAGUGCGGUAGGGGAGAUUGGAAUUCCUGGUGUAGCGGUGGAAUGCGCAGAUAUCAGGAGGAACACCGAUGGCGAAGGCAGAUCUCUGGGCCGUAACUGACGCUGAGGAGCGAAAGGGUGGGGAGCAAACAGGCUUAGAUACCCUGGUAGUCCACCCCGUAAACGUUGGGAACUAGUUGUGGGGUCCAUUCCACGGAUUCCGUGACGCAGCUAACGCAUUAAGUUCCCCGCCUGGGGAGUACGGCCGCAAGGCUAAAACUCAAAGGAAUUGACGGGGACCCGCACAAGCGGCGGAGCAUGCGGAUUAAUUCGAUGCAACGCGAAGAACCUUACCAAGGCUUGACAUAUACGAGAACGGGCCAGAAAUGGUCAACUCUUUGGACACUCGUAAACAGGUGGUGCAUGGUUGUCGUCAGCUCGUGUCGUGAGAUGUUGGGUUAAGUCCCGCAACGAGCGCAACCCUCGUUCUAUGUUGCCAGCACGUAAUGGUGGGAACUCAUGGGAUACUGCCGGGGUCAACUCGGAGGAAGGUGGGGAUGACGUCAAAUCAUCAUGCCCCUUAUGUCUUGGGCUUCACGCAUGCUACAAUGGCCGGUACAAAGGGCUGCAAUACCGCAAGGUGGAGCGAAUCCCAAAAAGCCGGUCCCAGUUCGGAUUGAGGUCUGCAACUCGACCUCAUGAAGUCGGAGUCGCUAGUAAUCGCAGAUCAGCAACGCUGCGGUGAAUACGUUCCCGGGUCUUGUACACACCGCCCGUCAAGUCAUGAAAGUCGGUAACACCUGAAGCCGGUGGCCCAACCCUUGUGGAGGGAGCCGUCG